GAUCCUGGCUCAGGAUGAACGCUAGCGACAGGCUUAACACAUGCAAGUCGAGGGGCAGCACGAUGUAGCAAUACAUUGGUGGCGACCGGCGCACGGGUGAGUAACGCGUAUGCAACCUACCUAUCAGAGGGGAAUAACCCGGCGAAAGUCGGACUAAUACCGCAUAAAACAGGGGUUCCACAUGGAAAUAUUUGUUAAAGAAUUAUCGCUGAUAGAUGGGCAUGCGUUCCAUUAGAUAG
rnacentral:rRNA from 1 species